AUCAGGAGCUCUAUCUCUUGAGAGGUGCACCAUGGCUUGCCACAAUGUCACAACUGGUCCCUGGAGAGCUGCUGGUGGUGACGGGUUGCCUGUGCCCUCUCUGCGGCAAAACUCCACAAAUACUCCACUCACCAAGUUCCAGAGGGAGAGGAUCACCGGCCGUACUAAAGGAAGUGGCUCUAUGUAGGGAUGGAACAUGGCAACUGCACCA